GAACCGUGAGACAGGUGCUGCAUGGCUGUCGUCAGCUCGUGUUGUGAAAUGUUGGGUUAAGUCCCGCAACGAGCGCAACCCUUAUCCUUUGUUGCCAGCGGUCCGGCCGGGAACUCAAAGGAGACUGCCAGUGAUAAACUGGAGGAAGGUGGGGAUGACGUCAAGUCAUCAUGGCCCUUACGACCAGGGCUACACACGUGCUACAAUGGCGCAUACAAAGAGAAGCGACCUCGCGAGAGCAAGCGGACCUCAUAAAGUGCGUCGUAGUCCGGAUUGGAGUCUGCAACUCGACUCCAUGAAGUCGGAAUCGCUAGUAAUCGUGGAUCAGAAUGCCACGGUGAAUACGUUCCCGGGCCUUGUACACACCGCCCGUCACACCAUGGGAGUGGGUUGCAAAAGAAGUAGGUAGCUUAACCUUCGGGAGGGCGCUUACCACUUUGUGAUUCAUGACUGGGGUGAAGUCGUAACAAGGUAACCGUAGGGGAACCUGCGGUUGGA
rnacentral:rRNA from 1 species